CGCGUCAGAAAUUACAGAGGCGCAGGCAACGAGCGAGGCAAUUUCUUCCUCAUUAAAAAUCUGCAGAAAUGAAGCAUCUGGGUGACACACACACACAGAUGCAGAGCGACGCUGGAGAGCUUUACUCACUAACACAACCUGACGAAGUGUCUACCUCAUGAAGCUGGUUGAGAGAAUGCAAAGAGUGUGCAAAGCUGUCAUCAAGGCAAAAGGCUACUUUGAAGAAUCUAAAAUCAAAAAUAUAUUUAGAUUUGUUUAACACUUUUUUGGUUAAUACAUGAUUCCAUAUGUGUUAUUUCAUUGUUUUGAUGUCUUCACUAUAAUUCUACAAUGUAGAAAAUAGUCAAUAAAGAAAAACCC
ensembl:lncRNA